rnacentral:tRNA from 1 species
AGCAAUUUGGCGCAGUGGAAGCGCGGUAUGUCUAUCAUUAUCUGCAUAUAAAAAUCCUUACUAACAGACGCAGCCGGGCUCAUAACCCGGAGGUCACUAGAUCGAAACUAGUAAUUGCUA